GCCGCUGUAGCUCAGUGGUAGAGCAUCGGACGCAUUAUUCGAAGGUCGCAGGUUCAGUCCCUGCCAGCGGCA
rnacentral:tRNA from 1 species